rnacentral:ncRNA from 1 species
UGCUGUGACCCGAUAGCAUGUCGAACUAUACUUGAACAGGUAGAAGUCAGGGGAAACCCUGAUGGAUGACCGAAACAGUUCUGACGUGCAAAUCGAGUGUCAGAAUUGAGUAUAGGUGCGAAAGACCUAUCGAACCAUCUAGUAGCUGGUUCCUUCAGAAGCUUCCCUCCGGAUAGCUGGUGCACUCUAAUAUUAUAUAACAUAAUCUUAUCUGGUACAGCGAACGAUUAGAGGCCUUAGGGUCGAAACGAUCUUAACCUAUCUCAAACUUUAAUGGGUAAGAACCUUAACUUUCUGAUAUGAAGUUCAAGGUUAUGAUAUAAUGUGCCCAGUGGGCCACUUUUGGUAAGCAGAACUGGCGCUGUGGGAUGAACCAAACGUAAUGUUACGGUGCCCAAAUUAACAACUCAUGCAGAUACCAUGAAAGGCGUUGGUUGCUUAAAACAGCAGGACGGUGAUCAUGGAAGUCGAAAUCCGCUAAGGAGUGUGUAACAACUCACCUGCCGAAGCAACUAGCCCUUAAAAUGGAUGGCGCUUAAGUUGUAUACCUAUACAUUACCGCUAAAGUAGAUGAUUUAUAUUACUUGUGAUAUAAAUUUUGAAACUUUAGUGAGUAGGAAGGUACAAUGGUAUGCGUAGAAGUGUUUGGCGUAAGCCUGCAUGGAGCUGCCAUUGGUACAGAUCUUGGUGGUAGUAGCAAAUAAUCGAAUGAGACCUUGGAGGACUGAAGUGGAGAAGGGUUUCGUGUGAACAGUGGUUGAUCACGAGUUAGUCGGUCCUAAGUUCAAGGCGAAAGCCGAAAAUUUUCAAGUAAAACAAAAAUGCCUAACUAUAUAAACAAAGCGAAUAUAAUACACUUGAAUAAUUUUGAACGAAAGGGAAUACGGUUCCAAUUCCGUAACCUGUUGAGUAUCCGUUUGUUAUUAAAUAUGGGCCUCGUGCUCAUCCUGGCAACAGGAACGACCAUAAAGAAGCCGUCGAGAGAUAUCGGAAGAGUUUUCUUUUCUGUUUUAUAGCCGUACUACCAUGGAAGUCUUCGCAGAGAGAUAUGGUAGAUGGGCUAGAAGAGCAUGACAUAUACUG